AUGCUCUUUAACAAGAGUGAAAAGUGGACUUUUGAGGAAAUAAAAAAUGAAACUGAUAUUCAAGAAAGGGACUUGAUACGAGCAAUCCAGUCACUGUCAGUGGGCAAGGUGUCUCAGAGAGUGCUGCAUAAAGAGCCCAAGACGAAGGAAGUGGAACCUGCCCAUGUUUUCACAGUUAAUGAUCAUUUUACGUCCAAGCUCUUUAGAGUCAAGAUCCAGACAGUGGCAGCAAAUAAGGGUGAAGCUGAGCCAGAGAGGAAGGAAACCAGGGUUAAGGUUGAUGAGGACAGGAAGCAUGAGAUUGAAGCUGCAAUUGUAAGGAUAAUGAAGGCCAGAAAAAAGCUACAACACAAUGUCUUAGUAGCAGAGGUCACGGAACAGCUCAAAGCUCGCUUCCUGCCGAGUCCAGUCAUUAUCAAGAAGCGGAUAGAAGGAUUAAUAGAACGAGAAUAUCUAGCCCGAACUCCAGAGGACAGGAAAGUAUACACAUAUGUAGCCUAGUGGAAUGUUACAGAGUCGAUACAAUAUGCAUUUCCAUUCUUUACCGGGCCUCCUAGAAAAAAGAAAAUAAAAAUAUGUCAUUAUUUUACGUGCUUGUAUUAGUACAUUGGUGGUUUCCUUGGGAUUCACAUUCAGACCUUUGAUCAGGACUCUGUUUAAUAUCGGAGCCGGCAGAGGUGUAUUAUAGUGUCUGUGUGUUAAAGGAUAUAAAGACACAAUAUCUCAUGACGCACAGUGUUGUGGGGAUUUCAAUGAAGGAUUGGAACAAGUGCCGCAGUACCAUCAGUUUAUCUGUCUGUAAUUCAUAGCAUAUAUAUAUUUCUCCACUAUGUUGUGAAUGGCUUUUUUGAAAGUAUGCAGACUUUUUUUUUUGUUUUUUGGUCUUAUUUUUGCUGUUUAACAAAUUCAUUGUAGAAUUUUUUAUUAGUCAAAGGAGAGAGUGGAAAGACAAGAAGUAUGCUUGUGUAUUGUAUUUUGCGAAGGAAGUUUGAAAGUCUGAUACUGUUUCCCAUAUGUUGAUGCAUACAUUAACUGCGUAAUUUGUGAGGGAGACUGUAUUUUAUGUUGAAUACUUUUCAACAUUUGUUUUACUGGAGAAAAACUCUGUCUUUUGAGUUUAAAGUAUUUUGUUAUAGUCCACACUAAUGUAUUUGAUUACAAACUUGUUCCAGCAAGUCAUUGUUGCUUAUGACUGAAAAUUUUUAGCAUUGUUUCAUGCCUAAAACAAAAAACACUACAUGUUUUUUAUUGGUAAAAAAAAAAAAUCCUCCAUGUUUGUUGAUUCAUAUAAUAGAGUUCAAUCAUGGACCCCUAAACUUUGCUCUUAGGAAGUCUUUUACAACAUUCUUAUUAAACAUGAUAAAU
rnacentral:misc_RNA from 1 species